UGGGGAAUUUUGGACAAUGGGCGCAAGCCUGAUCCAGCCAUGCCGCGUGAGUGAAGAAGGCCUUCGGGUUGUAAAGCUCUUUCGGACGGGAAGAAAUGGCGGGCUCUAACAUAGCCUGUCGAUGACGGUACCGUAAGAAGAAGCACCGGCUAACUACGUGCCAGCAGCCGCGGUAAUACGGAGGGUGCAAGCGUUAUCCGGAUUCACUGGGUUUAAAGGGUGCGUAGGUGGGCAGAUAAGUCAGUGGUGAAAUCUUCCGGCUUAACCGGGAAACUGCCGUUGAUACUAUUGGUCUUGAAUAUUGCGGAGGUAAGCGGAAUAUGUCAUGUAGCGGUGAAAUGCUUAGAUAUGACAUAGAACACCAAUUGCGAAGGCAGCUUACUACACAAUCAUUGACACUGAGGCACGAAAGCGUGGGUAGCGAACA
rnacentral:rRNA from 1 species